ACGGGUGAGUAACGCGUGGGAAUCUACCCAUCUCUACGGAAUAACGCAUGGAAACGUGUGCUAAUACCGUAUACGUCCUUCGGGAGAAAGUUUUAUCGGAGAUGGAUGAGCCCGCGUUGGAUUAGCUAGUUGGUGGGGUAAAGGCCUACCAAGGCGACGAUCCAUAGCUGGUCUGAGAGGAUGAUCAGCCACACUGGGACUGAGACACGGCCCAGACUCCUACGGGAGGCAGCAGUGGGGAAUAUUGGACAAUGGGCGCAAGCCUGAUCCAGCCAUGCCGCGUGAGUGAUGAAGGCCCUAGGGUUGUAAAGCUCUUUCACCGGUGAAGAUAAUGACGGUAACCGGAGAAGAAGCCCCGGCUAACUUCGUGCCAGCAGCCGCGGUAAUACGAAGGGGGCUAGCGUUGUUCGGAUUUACUGGGCGUAAAGCGCACGUAGGCGGACUAUUAAGUCAGGGGUGAAAUCCCGGGGCUCAACCCCGGAACUGCCUUUGAUACUGGUAGUCUUGAGUUCGAGAGAGGUGAGUGGAAUUCCGAGUGUAGAGGUGAAAUUCGUAGA
rnacentral:rRNA from 1 species